rnacentral:lncRNA from 1 species
AGACUGGGGUAAAACACCACAAUGGGAGGACACUGGGGAAGGUGAGUCAGCCUUAGAGACCACAGAGGCUGCUGAAUGCCAGGAGGUGGGGAAGACAGGGCUCCAGCUACCACAGGACGGGCUCUGGGUAUAGCCGUUCCAGUCAGGGACAGCCGUGGAGAGACCAGGGACCAGGAAGCAGACAGUAUGAGCAUGACCAGUGGAGAAGGUACUAGUCAACCUCCAGAAAGAGUAUGGAGAGAAAAAGAGGCACACCUGGACGCAGAGCCCUGCCAGCGCCCUCCUCUGCUGUUGCAGCUGCAAGGAGACCAUGCCUGUGGGAGCCAGGCCUCGCUUGCAUGAAGAAGGAACGAUGCCUUUUUCAAUGGUGUCUCCCUCCCAUUGUGCAGAAGAGCUUUUGUUGGCUUCUCUCCCGAGCUUGUGCCUGAUUCUGUGGCCCAAAACAAUCAUUGUUAACAUCUUCAUGUGUUUCAUUCUGAUCUUUCAUUCAUAUAUAUGAUGCCUAGCUAAUUUCAUUUUAAAAUAAAUGGGAAUCUGUUGUA